GUGUUGCGAGAUCGUGGGUUCGAGUCCCACCUCGCGUCUGGUCACGGGAUCGUGGGUUCGAGUCCCACCUCGUGCAGAGGGUCUCAAUUGGCCGGCCUUGGAGAGGCCAUCUGAUUCUUCUGGUUUCUUUUUUGUCUUAGUCUCGUGUCCGCUCUUGUUGUGACUACUGUUUUUCUAAAAAUGGGACAAUCUGUGUCCACUCCCCUUUCUCUGACUCUGGAGCAUUGGAAGGAGGUGCGGGUCAGAGCCCACAACCAGUCGGUGGAGGUCAGAAAGGGUCAGUGGCAGACCUUUUGCGCCUCCGAGUGGCCAACGUUUGGAGUAGGCUGGCCACCUAAGGGUGCUUUUGACUUGUCACUAAUCGUCAGGAAAAUUGUUUUUCAGGAGGAAGGGAGUCGAUGUGAAAUCCGACCCUGUCAGGAAAUAGCGUUUGGCUUGGCUGGUUGUACAAGUCCAGGCGUGGACGAGUGUGCUUAGAGAUACUGGUGUCUUCUUUUUCUCUGUUGCUAUCUUGUUUUUGUUUGUGGUUUUUGUCAUGAGACACAGACACUGUAUGUCAGAGGUAAAGUGAGAUCCCUCCCUGUCUGUAUGUCUGUGUGUCUUGUUCACUUGUGUGUCCUCCAUUGGACCACCUUCUGAUUCUGUUUUGUUUUUGGUUUGUCAAAAAGGAGAGGAGGCUGUUCGAGUGGCCGGCCAAGAGCGCUGCAGGUUCCCAGGCAGCUUCUCAUUCCCCUGUCCCUCCCAUCCCGUCUCUUGUUAACAGAAAAACUGCUUUCACUUUAAGAUAAGUGCCGGUUGCAGCCAGCUGUGAGAGCUGCACUCCCGUCUCUGCUCUAAAGUAGAGAUAACAAAAGGGGUGCUAACACAGAAGCUGAGUCCUUAAAAGAGUCCGGUGGCCUACCUGUUGAAGCAGCUAAAAAAGAGACUGUGUUUCAUACUCCUCCACUGACCAGUGCAAAACAAGCUAAAAAGUUCCUGGGCACUGCGGGCUUUUGCAGAUUGUGAAUUCCAGUUUUGCUGAGUUAAAGAGAUAAACAGCCCUUCGUAUAUAAAAAAUAAAGAACAAUCUUACAUGGCCUUGGAUGCUAUUGAGACUGCCCUAAUGUUAUCCCCAGCUUUGGGACUCCUAGAUGUGACUGAGAACAAAGGUAUUGCCAAAAGAAGUUCUUACUCAGAGAUUGGGACCCUGGAAAAGACCUGUGGCAUACUUGUAAAAAAUUAGACCUGGUGGUUGUAGGAUGGCCUGCUUGUCUGCACAUAGUGGCUUCUGGUCAAGGACGCAGAUAAAUUGACUCUGAGACAAAACUUGGCACAUGUCCUAGAAAGUGUUUGACUGAACGAGUGACCUUCGCUCCCCCUGCUAUCCUCGAUCUCACUACUGCCUGAGACUUCACCUACUCAUCAUUGUGCUGACAUUCUGGCAGAAGGAACUCAUACUCGAAAUGAUCUGAAGGAUCAGAUCAGCCUUGGCCUGAGAGUUUGAGCUGGUACACGGAUGGCAGUAGCCUGGAGGUUGAGGGUAAGCGGAAGGCGGGGACAGCAGUGCAGUGGUGGACAGAAAGCAAGUGAUCUAGGCCAGCAGCCUCCCUAAAGGGACUUCAGCCCAGAAAGCUAAACUUGUGGCUUUAAUACAAGCUCUAUAUAUACAGACAAAGAGAGCUGUUGACAUCUGCAGAGAAAGACCUAAGAUGCUGUGGCUAAAAAGAAAUCAGAUGGCAAAUCUAACCGCCCAGGCAUCCUAAAGAGCAAUGAUCCUGACAGUCUGAAGACUAUCAAGUUAUAGACAAAUUAAGACUGGUAAAAGAAACCCUGUAUAAAAUAGUAAAAACUGAAGAAAGAAAACUAGUCCUCUCAUGAGAAGACAUCUACUGAAAAAUAGACUUUACUGAAAAAAUAUGUGUAUGAA
rnacentral:lncRNA from 1 species